ensembl:lncRNA LINC01206 long intergenic non-protein coding RNA 1206
AGACCUUGACAGUUGUAACCGAUAGACUGGGCUGGGGCAACGCUGAUGAAAGGCAAAUUCCUGAGAGAAAAAUCACCCAGAUUUUUCAGUGCCUUCUCUAGCUUUCUAGAAGUUGUUAUGAGUGGACCUGACUACCUAGAGAGAGUAAUACAGAAGCUCCGUGCCGAUCACAGCUACCUCAUUACCAUGUUCCUCCAAGAUGGCCGCCCCUGAGGAGAAUCAUCAACUGGGCUUUACGGAAGAGAGAAAUCCAAACGACCAUCAGCAACAAAUGAAAGACUGAAGUUGAAAGUUUCAAGAUUGUCAAGAAUGACGAGUUGGACUUGGUCUAGUUACUUCCACAGCAGCAGGAGGAACAUGUGUGUGACUCAGGAUAACUGGGGAAGCCUUGGCUAGGCUUUCCUCAUGUCAACCUACCACUCAAAGGGAGAAAACCUCCUGAUCAGAGGAAAUCCAUAAUUUUUGAAUGCUGGCCGAGGUCUGUGACCUCUGACUGAAUGGUUUCCAAGCUCCGAAUUCCUAGGUGAUGUUUUCAUUUGUUCACACUUGCUGAAGAAGGGAAAGGCUCUCUGAUUUACGUGUAAGCAAAACAAUCUAAACAGUAGGAUAAAAUCAUGUUGGAAUGGAGUUCUGUGUGGAUGCUCCUUUGAACCAAAUCAGUUCCACAACUGACCCUGUCAGGGACAUAUAAAUUUAGCAUUUUGGUGUGGAUACAGAAGACGAGAUUAACACAGAUCAAGUAACAUGGAAAUAAAAAAGGAGACAAUGCUGGAUGAUACAGGGGCAGCCAACAAGAGGAGAAAACCCAAGCAUUGGCAAAUGCCUCAUUAUCCAAAGAACACUGUAAAAGAAAGCCUGAGGAGGCUUUCCCCUCUGAGUUUUUCCGUGGAUUGCUGGACUCUGAGGCCCUCAUUCCUCUUGCAGGAGGUGUGGAGCAAAACUGUGUUGAAUGAACUGUAGAUGGAAAUUCUCUCCUUCCCACCGAGGAGCCGCUGCAGGUUGCAGACUCCCAGAAUGCCACACUGAGAAGAGGAGGGCUAAAAUUCUAGAGCAGAAUCCCUGGGGCAGCCCCUGCUGAAGAAGGGUGCAUCUGUUGAGAAUCUCAUCACCGCCCCCACCCCGCCCAGCCUUCAAUUUAGAGGAAUUUCUAGUUCACGCAGAAUGAAGACAAGAUCACAUAAGUGAGGACGACGCCCCAUUUACAAGUGUGAUUUGGAAGACUGAAGUGGAAACCUUGGGAAGGGGCCUCAGAGUAUGUCAGCUGGGGUCAGACGGGAACAGGAGUCUGGCUCAACACACAUUUAUUGCACUCCUGUUUCAUGCCAAGAAAUGUACCAAAAUCUGGGACUGUGUAACACAGCAAAGGAAAAGACUCAUCUCCAGGAAGCCCCCUUGUCUAGGAAGAGAAAUUGAAUAUCAGCAUAAGGUGGUGAAAAGCUGUGAAGGAGAUGAGUGCCAGGAGUCCAUGGAGGAAGGAUUCUAGCCUGGACAGAGUCUCCAUGAAUUGCAAGGGAAAACAAGUGGUACACUGGUAUUUCUAUUUGAUAACCUGUUCUCUUUGGAAUUCCGGUUAGAAAUCAAAGGCUUACUUGAGUUUUAAUGCUUUCGGGACUUCAAAUGCUUUUCUAUCUUCCUAAUAAUAUAUUAACAUUUUCUGAAGACAACAUAUAUGUGGAAAACAACAUUAUUUACUCAAAUAAUUUUUUUUGAAAAAUGGACCAAAAAAAAAGAAAAACCAACAAAAA